AUUGAACGCUGGCGGCAGGCCUAACACAUGCAAGUCGAACGAGUGGCGGAAGGGUGAGUAAUGUCUGGGAAACUGCCUGAUGGAUGGGGCUAACUACUGGACACGGUAGCUAAUACCACAUACCAUCGGAUGUGCCCAGAUGGGAUUAGCUAGUAGGUGGGGUAAAGGCUCACCUAGGCGACGAUCCCUAGCUGGUCUGCGGGGAUGACCAGCAACACUGGAACGGAGCCACGGUCCAGACUCCUACGGGGGGCAGCAGGGGGGAAAUGUGCAAAAGGGGCGCAAGCCUGAUGCAGCCAUGCCGCGGGUAGGAAGAAGGCCUUCGGUUUGAAAAGUACUUUCAGGGGGGAGGCGUUACCCGCAGAAGAAGCACCGGCUAACUCCGUGCAAGCAGCCGCGUAAUAC
rnacentral:rRNA from 1 species